rnacentral:rRNA from 1 species
UGUGUAGGCGGUUAUGUAAGAUAGCGGUGAAAUCCCGGGGCUUAACCUCGGAAUAGCCGUUAUAACUAUGUAUCUAGAGUUAUGGAGAGGAUAGCGGAAUACCCAGUGUAGAGGUGAAAUUCGUAGAUAUUGGGUAGAACACCGGUGGCGAAGGCGGCUAUCUGGCCAUAUACUGACGCUGAGGCACGAAAGCAUGGGGAUCAAACA